rnacentral:lncRNA from 1 species
CCCCACUAAUAUUUUAAUAACUCUAAAAUAUAAAACUAACCUAGAACACAUCGACUUCAUCAUCUAGCGACUCCCCCAAAAUCUCAAACACCCGUCUCUCUCUGUUCAUCAACCUAGAACACACCGACGAACUUUGUCGACCUGCUCCGGUGAAGGACGAUAACUUCCGGUGAAGGACGACCAUUAUCGGCUAACAUACCAUAAUCUCCGAGGUAGGCUUUCGGUUUUUUACCCUGUUCGAUGUUUGCUAUUACUGUUCGAUUUUCGCUUUCUUCUUCCCUAGUCUGAAAAAUUAUUUCAUUGCUCCUUCUAUUUUCUUUCUUUGAUAAUAUUUCUGAUAAACCCAUUAUUUUGCUUCUGUUUUGUUUGUAUUAUACGAUAUAUUUUGUGAUUUUUAGUUUGCGAAAUUGGGGGAUUUAUUUGUUAGGUUUUAAUUUUGUGUUAGAAACCAUGAGAUUUCCCCUUGUUGGAUGUUUGCUAUCGAUGUUCGAUGUUCGUUGUCUUGUUCGUUAUUCUGAAAAUCGUUAUUCUGUAUUAUACAGUGGGUAUGCAUGGAGUAAAUUUUAUCGACAAAUGCUAUUGAUGCAAUGGCUCGUGGAGUAUACUUUGGAGUUUUCAAUUUUUCCCCAGAAAAUUUUCAGCCUUUCUUCUGCCUUAUUUCUGGAUCAUAGACAUGAGGAACAUGCUGGACUACCUGCAAGACAGAUUACCAAGAAUCUAGGGGCUUCUUUGCAAUUAAUAUAACAUUGACGACGAGACAUAGUAAUAAUAAUCUAAAAUACAUUCAUUAGUAUGACUAGGGUUGUUCAAAAUCGAUCCAUAAUCCGGCAAGUGUGUGUAAGAAUCUGUUAAAACUUGGUAUACUUUUGAUUUUAAAAAAAGAAUCUGUUAAAACUCGGUAUGAUUUCAUCUUGAAAUAUCUAUCCCAGUUUGGUGUAAGGGUAUCCAUUGGUUCUAUUUGAUGACUGAUAUACCUUUUGGAAUGGUCCCAUUUACGAAGCACAGUUGGUUUUCCAGUGAUGCAAGGGCUAGUCUUUGCUUGACUAGCUAAACUGGCAUUCCUUCUAUGUUGUGGUGUCCAAUUAACUUGGCGUUGAAGCGUGAUUUGAAUUGGAAGUGAGAAAAUAUUUAGCUUCUUGUUUGACAUUCAGGCUUUGAAUACUAAUGUCAUUAGAAGUUAGAAAAGCUUAUUUAGAAUAAAGCUGCAAUUAGCAAACACUAGUGCACUACUAAAAUCUUUGUAAUAAAAAAGGGCAAACUACGGUCCAAUAGAUCCACAUCUAUUAUAUAAAUAUAAAAUGAAAGUCAGUGUAGGAAGUAAAUCCACCCCAAGUAUCUUAUAUGAUUAGAAAGGUAUUGAAGGCCCAAGAAUACUAUGAGGAAGCUGUUUUCACUCAAGACGAUGUACUGAAUAUGGACAGAUUUUCUAUCAAGAAGAUGUACCAAGAUGAUGUAUUCAUGUGUUGUUAGCCUCUUUACUCUCCAAAUGGGUUGCUUGUAUUUUAGCUUCUUGUUGCUCUUACAUAAGGAACUGUGACAGUAAAAUAGAGUUCAACUUUGUUAGGUAAAACAUCGAUAACGAAUCAAUUACUUUGUGAUUCAAACAUCUUAAAUUUUUUUUUUGUUUAAUCAUUUAUUGAUCGUCAUUUGUAGGUGCAGCGAUUGCAGAUGAAAGCAGUGAUGAAGAUCUUUCUUGAGUGUUGUUGAUCGUUGCUAGACUUUCUCAUUAUGUUCCGGGAUAUUCUAGUUUAGAACGUUUUGUAUGCAAACUCAUCUAUUUCAUAUUUUGUUUUUAUAUAUGGAUAAUGCUAGUUUGAUAUUUCAAUGUUAUUUUGUAGUUUAUAUAAGUUAUGGUGUAUAAAAUUUUGUUGCAUGGGAAAUAUUCCUCAUUCUGGAGCUAUAUAUAUAUAUAUGAA